UUGAUAUUUAACAAAACACGUACAAACACGUGCAUAAUCACAGAUACAACCAAAAACUAACAACUUUGAAUCUUUCAAGAUUAUAAUAAAUUAAAUGUUGUUAUUCUAUAUUAAUGCAUAACUAUAUGAUACAGGUUUCUUAAAUAUCUAAAUAUCAAAUUAUCUACUUUACAUAGGCACCUCAGAAUUAUAACAUAACAUUUUGUGAAAUUUAUAACAAGAACGACAUAGAUUAUUCUUUUUUUUCAAAGAUCGAUCCUUUGAAAAAAGUGGAAGAAAUUACGUUACGUAAAUAGAUCUGCCUCAAGGAAAUGUUUUCCGUCCAUAUCACCUACGUUGUGGUGAUGAUCUUGAAUACAAGUUUAUAAAACAAAAGAUUAACAAAGAAGCAUACUUCCAGUGGAAAGCUAUGAUAAUGCGUCAGCUUUGGUUACCAUGUCGAUUGAUUCCACAGCUUAUGUGAUGAUUAUUUGUCAAAAAAUACGAUGCUUAUUUUAUUGUGUUUCAACUCCGAGAUUUGUGCCAAAAAGCAACAGUUUCACAUUUGAUUGCAUAAAAGCAACAAUUUCACAUUUGAUUUUAUGUUUGGAAUAUAAAAAAAGAAGAUGUGGUAUGAUUGACAAUUAGACAACACUCCACAAGAAUCUUUGUUAACAGAUUUAUACACUUUUGUGCAACAUGAUUAUGAGCAAGUGGUGGAGCACGAACGGCUCAACUCCAGGAUCGCUUCCUUUUACCCCUUAUUUUGGUGGGGUUCCAUUUCUAAAUCUUUAGUUUAGUGUGUACUGUGUUUUUAUCUUUGGUUAUGGUGUUGUAUAAUAUACGAUUGAAGAGCCAGUACCCUUUUAUAUGAAUAAAAAUAGUCAAAAGGUGUAACAACUUCAAGUAACAUAACAUAUAACUAAGCUUUCUAAAACGUAAACGGUUUGAUAAACCAUUGAGAACAUUUAUAUCGGUAGAAUGUCAAAAA
rnacentral:lncRNA from 1 species